UCGUGGUAUGCCGUGAUUGUGUUGCGCGCCGUUUCCAGGGAAGGUGGCCAACGACGCACACGAAAUACCAUGAUCGGCCGCCGCCGCGCAGCCCCUCGCCGCGGACGCUACCCUCGCCCCCCGGGCCCGGCCUCGGAGAGCUCGAAGGACCACCGGACAGCGGGCGCCUCGUCCCGGAACCUGCCUUCCCUGUGAUGCCCACCCGCGUGUGGACUACGCGCGCUGCCGUCCAGCUGCCAUCCCAACCAGGCCGACCUGUGACAGACCUGGUUGGGAGUGCACGUCGACUAGGAUCUUCCUCGCCUCGGGCUUCCUUGGAGAGGCCGCCGGCUGGUCUGAGAUUUGGGUCCAGUUACAGUAAAUCCAGUCAACGCGAGUGUGUCAUUCCCCAGCUAUGCCUGUCUGCCUGGAUGCAGCCUCGCGGUGGACAGUGGGCUGAUGUUUUGCCGUGGGAGCGCCACGGACGGGAGAGGGAGUGAUAAUGAUUGUCAACCUAAUAACAGGCUAACUGAAAAUGAUAUUUAUUUGGGAAUAGGGCGUUGGCGAAUAUGCGUGCCAUAGUAAACGAUUUGCGCAUUCAGGAAAGUAAUGGUUUUUAAAGAAAAAAUGAAGAGGAAGAUAAUGGUUUGGAAAUAAUUAACCUUGGCUACAAAGAACAGUAACAAGUGUACUCCCGGCCGGGCGCGGUGGCUCACGCCUGUAAUCCCAGCACUUUGGGAGGCCGAGGCGGGCGGAUCACGAGGUCGGGAGAUCCAGACCGUCCUGCCUAACCCGGUGAAACCCCGUCUCUACUAAAAAUACAAAAAAUUAGCCGGGCGUGGUGGCGGGCGCCUGUAGUCCC
ensembl:lncRNA novel transcript